GACGCAAAAAGGCCUCCGCGCCUCCCCGGAAAUCUCCUAUCGUCGGGCCUCGGAGGCGUAGAAAGUGCUUCCUGGAACACGGAGGAGGUCACAAAUCAUGUGACGACGGCUUUCCAAGGAGGCUGUCUGUCAGGCUGUCCCUGGAUCUGCAGCUGAAGGAACACCGUAGCCCAGAAAGCAAGGAGUGGAGAUUGAUCCUGCGGGAGAAAGGGGUUCGUCAUGGCGGAUGACCUAAAGCGAUUCCUGUAUAAAAAGUUACCAAGGUAAAAAAUUACUAAUUUAUUAUUAAAUAAAUUCUGCAUUAUAUAUGUUGAUUU